rnacentral:rRNA from 1 species
UACGAAGGGUGCAAGCGUUAAUCGGAAUUACUGGGCGUAAAGGGUGCGUAGGCGGUUCGUUAAGUCUGUCGUGAAAUCCCCGGGCUCAACCUGGGAAUGGCGAUGGAUACUGGCGAGCUAGAGUGUGUCAGAGGAUGGUGGAAUUCCCGGUGUAGUGGUGAAAUGCGUAGAGAUCGGGAGGAACACCCGUGGCGAAGGCGGCCAACUGGGCCGGACCUGACGCUGAGGCGCGAAGGCGUGGGGAGCGAACGGG